UUCCGGUUGAUCCUGCCAGAAGCCACUGCUAUUGGGGUUCGGCUAAGCCAUGCGAGUGGAGGGCGUCCCGCAAGGGAUGGCCCCGCAGACGGCUCAGUAACACGUCGUCAACAUACCCUGGGGUGGGGGACAACCUCGGGAAACUGAGGAUAAUCCCCCAUAGGUGGGGGAGGCUGGAAUGCGCCCCUGCUGAAAGCUCAGGCGCCCUAGGACGGGGCGGCGGCCUAUCAGGUAGUUGGUGGUGUAACGGACCACCAAGCCUACGACGGGUACGGGCUGUGAGAGCAGGAGCCCGGAGAUGGGGACUGAGACAAGGCCCCAGGCCCUACGGGGCGCAGCAGGCGCGAAAACUCCGCAAUGCGCGCAAGCGUGACGGGGGAACCCCAAGUGCCGCUGAUCUUUGAUCGGCGGCUUUUCGGGAGUGCAGGGAGCUCCCGGAAUAAGGGCUGGGUAAGACUGGUGCCAGCCGCCGCGGUAAUACCAGCAGCCCAAGUGGUGGUCGCGUUUAUUGGGCCUAAAGCGCUCGUAGCCGGGCCGGUAAGUUCCCCGCGAAAUCGGGUCGCUCAACGAUUCGGCUUGCGGGGAAUACUGUCGGUCUUGGGGCCGGGAGACGCCGAGGGUACUCCGGGGGUAGCGGUGAAAUGCUGUAAUCCCUGGGGGACUACCAGUGGCGAAGGCGCUCGGCGAGAACGGGCCCGACGGUGAGGGGCGAAAGCUGGGGGAGCGAACGGGAUUAGAUACCCCGGUAGUCCCAGCCGUAAAGGAUGCGGGCAAGGUGCUUGUCGCUCUUCGAGGGCGCCAGGUGCCGUAGAGAAGUCGUUAAGCCCGCCGCCUGGGAAGUACGGUCGCAAGGCUGAAACUUAAAGACAUUGGCGGGGGAGCACCACAAGGGGUGGGACCUGCGGUUCAAUUGGAGUCAACGCCGGG
rnacentral:rRNA from 1 species